rnacentral:rRNA from 1 species
CUUGCAGGGUACUCGAGUGGCGAACGGGUGAGUAACACGUGGGUGAUCUGCCCUGCACUUCGGGAUAAGCUUGGGAAACUGGGUCUAAUACCGGAUAGGAACCAUCUUUAGUGUGGUGGUUGGAAAGUUUUUUCGGUGUAGGAUAAGCUCGCGGCCUAUCAGCUUGUUGGUGGGGUAAUGGCCUACCAAGGCGGCGACGGGUAGCCGGCCUGAGAGGGUGUACGGCCACAUUGGGACUGAGAUACGGCCCAG